UGCUGCUGAAAGCUGCGACAAGACUUAAUGCAUUCUUCUUUUCACAGGAUCUACAAGGUCUUAUAGAGCGACUCCAGAAUACCUCAUAGGAUGGAUCUGAAGCCAAUUGCAACCCUGCCUAAGGCUUUGGCUGCACACACCAAUGCCAGCACCGUGAAAAUACCCGCAACAGGCCAAGGGGCCACAAGCUUCUGCCUCCCUCAGGAACAAGAUCUGCUCCACUGCUGUAUUUCCAAGACAGACGGUAUCUCCCAGGGCGCGCUGUGGCCACGUGACUGCCAUGAUGCACCACUUCCCUGUACGAAUAGAGUGAAAGAGGAGGGCAUGCCGAUAUACUUAUUUUUAACAGGGAAACCAAACUACAAUGAAGAAUACUGGUUUGCAACACCUGCACUACAGUUCCCAGGAGGCAGUGCAGCUAUGUUUAGGAACCAAAAUACUGUUCUUUUUCACUGCCAUUUCAGACUAUUCUAUGUAAAAAAGUCUUCCUAACUGCCCAUUUUCCAAGCAGCUCUAACCAAGCAUCCUCAAUGAGACAAUAUAGGAAAUAAUAGAAGAGGGACCUACUUAAGGAAAAAAGAGACCUAGACGUCCCAUUUUCAGAUGUCGUCAUCUUCUUAUGAGCUUAUUUUCCAUUGUGUGAGGUACUUAACUGAUUCUUCAGAACAACUGGAUGUUAAUAAUGAUCAAUCUACAUUUACUCUGCACGUAACCACAGAGGUUACGAUGCACGGCAUAACUGCAGUGUCCCGAAUGUUUCCUUUUUGUGGCUGGCUGCAGAGACCGUAACCGCCUGCUACUCCUUUCUAGGUGAAGGUUUCCCUCCUUCAGUGUGGGUGGCAGGAGCUUGUGCUUCUGCUGCUGACACUUUUGAUCUUGACUCUCACUGGUGGUUGUUGGCAGCCACAUUUAAUUAUCAUGCAAUCAACAUUGUUUUGUUAUUCUCCUUUCAAAAUGACCCAAAGGUACUUGACAACAGCGCCAUAUCAACCAAACCAAACCAAACCAAACCAAACCAAACCAGACCUUACCUCUUGGGAAGGAUGGAAGUAGCCUUAAUAUUCUUCAUUCCAAGGAAGAAUUUAUUACAUGCUUCACAUGUUUUCAUGUUCUCUUUCCCUAAAACACUGUAAAGACAUAGAGAAGGCCAGAGGUUAGAUAUGGCAUAAUUGCAAUGGCAGUCCAUCUCUUCCUGACCGAUUAAUUAUUGAUCUAUUUUCCUGAGAAAGAAAAUCAACAAACAAACAAAAGCAGGACAUAUUAUGUGUAUUUAUGUGUAUUUACAAGCAACUGAAACACUGCAAAGAUUUUUAAAAAUUGUAAAUUUAAAAUAUUGUUGAAGAUAAGACACCAAAGAUAAAGAUAAAUUGAAUUAAUGUAUUCAAGUCUGUUGGCCCAAAUCUGUGUCUGGUAUAAAUCCGUAGCUCACAGAUGCAUUUUUCUCACUGUUAGAUAAAAACAGAACAAAACCUGAUUUCGAAACAGAUACGAU
rnacentral:lncRNA from 1 species